rnacentral:rRNA from 1 species
UACAGAGGUCUCAAGCGUUGUUCGGAUUCAUUGGGCGUAAAGGGUGCAUAGGUGGCGGGGUUAGUCAGGUGUGAAAUCUCGGAGCUCAACUCCGAAACUGCACUUGAUACUGCCUUGCUAGAGUACUGGAGAGGAGAUUGGAAUUUACGGUGUAGCAGUGAAAUGCGUAGAUAUCGUAAGGAAGACCAGUGGCGAAGGCGAAUCUCUGGACAGUUACUGACACUGAGGCACGAAGGCCAGGGGAGCAAACGGG